rnacentral:rRNA from 1 species
CCUACGGGGUGCAGCAGUGGGGAAUAUUGCACAAUGGGCGCAAGCCUGAUGCAGCCAUGCCGCGUGUAUGAAGAAGGCCUUCGGGUUGUAAAGUACUUUCAGCGGGGAGGAAGGUGUUGUGGUUAAUAACCACAGCAAUUGACGUUACCCGCAGAAGAAGCACCGGCUAACUCCGUGCCAGCAGCCGCGGUAAUACGGAGGGUGCAAGCGUUAAUCGGAAUUACUGGGCGUAAAGCGCGCGCAGGCGGUCUGUCAAGUCGGAUGUGAAAUCCCCGGGCUCAACCUAGGAACUGCAAUCGAAACUGGCAGGCUAGAGUCUUGUAGAGGGGGGUAGAAUUCCAGGUGUAGCGGUGGAAUGCGUAGGGAUCUGGAGGAAUACCGGUGGCGAAGGCGGCCCCCUGGAUAAAGACUGACGCUCAGGUGCGAAAGCGUGGGGAGCAAACAGGAUUAGAUACCCCCGUAGUC